CAAAGAAUCUCCUGUGGGAACGAGAAUAAGACCACGUAGGCGCAAAGCAUACUCCUUAGGGCCAGAUUGAUUGGAAAAAGACAAAAGGAAGCGUUCAACAGCCUCAUUAUGAGUAACAAUCAAAGAUUGAAUGUAAGGGCGUUGUUGGAGAGAAACAGUAGCUGCUUCAGAUGCAUCGCGAACAAGAACAACGACGAUAAAACCACGACGAUCCAAAUCGUGAGCAAUUACUGAGGCGAGAGGGUUCCACGCAGAUAAGACAACAACUUGGGUUUUUUGGUGGUUGGGUGCACGUGGAGCACGACGCUUGCGUACAUAAUCAUAGCGUUUGUAAUAGGAUAAUCCAGCAAGGAACAAAGCGGCCGAUCCUAAGCCAACUGAUACUCUAUUUUGAUAAAGAAAUUCUCCCAAUCUUCCCUUGGCACUGUUUGUAGUAUGAACUGUAACAGGUUGAGGGUUACUAGUUUUUUCAU